rnacentral:rRNA from 1 species
UGAGGAAUCUUGCGCAAUGGGGGAAACCCUGACGCAGCAACGCCGCGUGAGUGAGGAAGGUCUUCGGGUCGUAAAGCUCUGUCAGGCGGGAAGAAAUGCAUGGAGGUGAACAGCCGCCAUGCUUGACGGUACCGCCAGAGGAAGCACCGGCUAACUCCGUGCCAGCAGCCGCGGUAAUGCGGGGGGUGCAAGCGUUGUUCGGAAUCAUUGGGCGUAAAGAGCGUGUAGGCGGCUUGGUAAGUCAGAUGUGAAAGCCCUGGGCUCAAACCGGGAAGUGCAUUUGAAACUGUCAGGCUCGAGUUGGGGAGAGGGAAGUGGAAUUCCUGGUGUAGAGGUGAAAUUCGUAGAUAUCAGGAGGAACACCGGUGGCGAAGGCGACUUCCUGGCCCUAUACUGACGCUGAGACGCGAGAGCGUGGGUAGCAAACAG